AGUAUACUUGUUGCUAGCUCUUAUUAUUUGAUAAAGUUUUGUACUUGCAUCUUUUUUUUCAGUCACCGGAAGUUGGAAUUUCGUUUGUGAUAGGAUCUAAACAAGUAUCAAAGUCUACAAAUGCUGGAUUAAGCAAGUUAAAGCCUUUGUGAUUCCCCUGUAUCUUCAACAACGUCGUCUUCAAAACUUUAUCCAAAGACAUCUGUGGAUAGCCAUAACAAGCCACAGUUACAUUAUACAGGAAAGAACCUCAUUGACCUGACAGGUUCUGAGAGCUCAAAGGCUGAAACCAGUGGUUUAAGGCGCAAGGAAAGGUCUUAUAUAAAUAAAGCUUUGCUGACUUUAGGGACUGUGAGUUCUUGGUUAUCAUUGUUUUCCCCCAAGCGACAAUAGUUUUUCG
rnacentral:misc_RNA from 1 species